CGGGACGGGGUGGAGUAAUGUCUGGGAAACUGCCUGAUGGAGGGGGGUAACUACUGGAAACGGUAGCUAAUACCGCAUAACGCCGCAAGACCAAAGAGGGGGACCUUCGGGCCUCUUGCCAUCGGAUGUGCCCAGAUGGGAUUAGCUAGUAGGUGGGGUAACGGCUCACCUAGGCGACGAUCCCUAGCUGGUCUGAGAGGAUGACCAGCCACACUGGAACUGAGACACGGUCCAG
rnacentral:rRNA from 1 species